GGAUGGUAUAUCACACAGAGUUUGGACCUAAGAAGAUUGAUGGUAUAUCACCAGGUCCGUAUGGUCCGUGUUCUGGAUUUUGUGGUGGCAUGUGUGAUUUCAAUAGAUUUGUGGAAUCUGUUAAAAAAUUCACACGCUACUGAAUUGUUGUUGUACUAUAGUUUCUUUAUAACUGUGAUUGUAUCAUAUAGUUUCUUUGUAUUUUUAGUUUUGCUCAACUUUAAAUUUUAUAUCUCACGGUACUGUUCUUACACUUUGCU
rnacentral:lncRNA from 1 species